UGUCUCAAUUUGCCACCAGCUGUGUUCACAAACCCACAGAAAGAUUCCUGUCCAGAUCCGACUCAGGACAACAGCAAAACUCUGGACCUGUCGAAAGUGAUCGAAUUGCUGAGUGACAAGAUUGAUCUUAAGAAGACUUUAGAAGAGAUGAUAAGUAAAUUACAACUAGCGAGUAAUAAAGCCGAUUAAUUGUCAAAAUGUCAA